UACGUAGGGUGCGAGCGUUAAUCGGAAUUACUGGGCGUAAAGCGUGCGCAGGCGGUUUUGUAAGCCAGAUGUGAAAUCCCCGGGCUUAACCUGGGAAUGGCAUUUGGGACUGCAAGGCUCGAGUGCGGCAGAGGAGACUGGAAUUCCUGGUGUAGCAGUGAAAUGCGUAGAUAUCAGGAGGAACACCGAUGGCGAAGGCGGCUCUCUGGUCCAUGUCUGACGCUGAGGUGCGAAAGCCAGGGGAGCAAACGGG
rnacentral:rRNA from 1 species